rnacentral:rRNA from 1 species
UACGGGAGGCAGCAGUGGGGAAUAUUGGACAAUGGGCGCAAGCCUGAUCCAGCCAUGCCGCGUGUGUGAAGAAGGCCUUCGGGUUGUAAAGCACUUUUGUCCGGAAAGAAAAGCUUAGGGUUAAUAACCUUGAGUCAUGACGGUACCGGAAGAAUAAGCACCGGCUAACUUCGUGCCAGCAGCCGCGGUAAUACGAAGGGUGCAAGCGUUACUCGGAAUUACUGGGCGUAAAGCGUGCGUAGGUGGUUUGUUAAGUCUGAUGUGAAAGCCCUGGGCUCAACCUGGGAAUGGCAUUGGAAACUGGCUUACUAGAGUGCGGUAGAGGGGUGUGGAAUUCCCGGUGUAGCAGUGAAAUGCGUAGAUAUCGGGAGGACAUCUGUGGCGAAGGCGACACCCUGGACCAGCACUGACACUGAGGCACGAAAGCGUGGGGAGCAAACAGGGAUUAGAUACC